UACAGAGGAGCCAAGCGUUGUCCGGAUUGACUGGGCGUAAAGCGCACGCAGGCGGUCGCGCGCGUGGGGUGUGAAAUCUGGCCGCUUAACGGCCAGGCGCCAUCCCAUACGGCGCGACUGGAGUGAUGCAGAGGUCGAUGGAAUUGCCGGUGUAGUGGUGAAAUGCGUAGAGAUCGGGCAGGAACACCCAGGGGGAAACCAGUCGACUGGGCAUCUACUGACGCUGAGGUGCGAGAGCGUGGGGAGCGAACCGG
rnacentral:rRNA from 1 species